rnacentral:rRNA from 1 species
CCACGCUGCCAAGAAAAGCGUCUAGAGAGAGAAGUAGUGCCCGUACCGCAAACCGACACAGGUAGGUGAGGAGAGAAUCCUAAGGCCGGCGGAAGAAUUACAGUUAAGGAACUCGGCAAAUUGACCCCGUAAGUUCGCGAGAAGGGGUGCCUACGAGAGUAGGCCGCAGAGAAUAGGCCCAAGCAACUGUUUAGCAAAAACACAGGUCUCUGCUAAAGCGUAAGCUGAUGUAUAGGGGCUGACGCCUGCCCGGUGCUGGAAGGUUAAGGGGAACACUUAGCGCAAGCGAAGGUGUGAACUUAAGCCCCAGUAAACGGCGGCCGUAACUAUAACGGUCCUAAGGUAGCGAAAUUCCUUGUCAGGUAAGUUCUGA